GUGCAUCAGUACAGGUGUGUCGAGAGGAACCAGCCGUCGCUGCAUGCUGGGCCUCCACGGAAACAUCUGUCUUCCUGUGAGAGCUGACCAGAGCUGCCCUCCUCAGCGUGAGGCUCUGAGAGAGAGAUCAGCUGCGGGAACACAGGGCCUUCAGCCAUUUCCUCUGCCAUGAGCACACACCCAUGCUGAUACUGAGAGACACUAUGGUAGCCUGAGAAGUUCUACAAUAUUACGGCUACCAAGCUCCAACAGGCACUGGAUGUGUGUUUGAGAAGCCAGCCAGCAGUGAAAUACAGUCAGCUCUCCUCUCCCUCCACCCAAACCGCCCACUCCACCGGCGCGAAGGCAAAGAGAUGGUGUUUAAGGCGAGAGCCCGCGCGUAUGCCUGUCAUAAUCAUCGGGGACUUUGCGUCUGAUCCCUCACCGGAGACCUCAUCUCGAGGAAUGGCCUCGUCAGGCGGAACAGCAGACACAGCCAGCACACUCUGAGGUGCUGAGAUGAGUGCAUGCUACAUGAGAGCAUCAUGGAUGAACAUCUGCAGCAGGAGGAGUGAGGGAGAGUCUGAGCAUUGUAAUUACAGGUGACAUUUGAAGCUGCCAACGGAGAUAGAUGUGGCGUUUGUGUGGCUGGCCAGGUCACCCAGAGUGCAACAUGUGGCCUGGAGGAACAAGAAACCAGCGAUUGAGAGGGAGAGAGAGAAAGAGAGAGAGAGAGAGGAAAGACAUUCUAAUCCUACCCCCUGAUCGAUCCCGGAGACAGGCCCUGAUGCUUGAUGUCCAUCAAUCUUGCUGGACUCUGUGUGGCCAGCGUCGUGUUGCUGCUCGGCCCAGCGCCUCGCUGUCUGCUCCGCUCCUCUCCUCCGCUGAGCUGGACCUGCUCACGGUCAUCUGAGAUCACCGCCCCCACUCCACCACCCCUGCCCUGCUGCACUCCUCCAGCCUCCCUCCUACUGUCAUGGGCACCGCCUGGCUCCAGGACCUCACGGGCCCAGAGAUGGGUGGCCUCCAGGGGACAAGGAGUGAGAUGGGCAAGGUGAGAUGUGCAAGGUGUGGCUGGGAAAAUCACUCACUUCAAUCAAAGCGGGCCCCUGCUCCCUGCCAUCCUCUGUCCCGGUCGGAAAAAGGAGAAAUGGCUUCUGUAUGAGAGGUGUCAUCGUGUGGUUUGAAGGUUCACCACUUUAAUCUCCUCUGGACAUCCCAUUGGCUUCAUUGGAGGGUGCAUUCAAUAUUCUGCGGUCCGGCAUUGAUUGGGAUUUGCAAUGGCACGCUGAACAGUACUUCUGAUCAGAAUGGGUCUACUUCUGAGUCCAGGAGUGUGGAGAUUACACCAAAUACUGGCCUAAACCACAGAUGGUAGAUACUGCAGCGUCACGCAGGCCCAGGCUCAGUGAGAGUGACCACACCGGGGAUGUCUAAUUGAGUUUUAUCAUAAAGGUCCAAUCACACUGUUCCAAAAGCCCACAAUGACCAUGAGAGGAUAUCUCCACUUUUCUUCCUCAUCCUCUCUCAGUCACUCUCUCUGUCUUUCUCUCUCUCCCAUCCUC